AGCCUAAGCAUCACUGUUGGAAGUCAAUGGCAGAGCUCUUCAGAUCCUUCUGAAAUACUUUAGUAUAUCUAAGACAGAGGUAGAGACUAAGGGACACAGGGUCAACAAUAGAAGGAUCAAGAUAAUGUAAGACAUAGACAUCAAAGAGAUACAAAAUGGUACAGAGAAAAGAAGGGUAUAGAGACCCAAUCACCUUAGAAAAUUAUUAAAUUUUUUUCUUAAUCCAAACAGUACUUUAUAUUACAUUAAUAAUUGGCAUAUAAUAAGAAAACCUUGCUUGAGCUGGUGGUCCUUAGUCCUUGUUAAUUCCUUCUCUGAAAGCAGAAAUCUCCCUGCCCCUUCAGAGAUGCUUCCUUAUAUCUAAUGACUCAAGAAUCCCAAGGAUCAGGGCCUUUGUGGUUGCUCUGUUGUGUUGCAUUGGCACAGACUUGUGCCUCAGGGUCCCUGUGCCCCACCCCAACAGGCUAGGAAACAUAUCCACUCCAGAAUUUCAAACCACCCUUCACCCUAAAACAAACUAAUUUCUGCUCUCUCUUGUGUCUAUAGCUGUGGUUCAAAAGAAAGUUUAGCUCAGCAUAUCUCCCAUCCCCCACCUACCCCUCAUGUUGGGGCCCCCAGCCUCUUUGUCUCCUGC
rnacentral:lncRNA from 1 species